CUAUUUUUUUUUCACAGGACCGUUAGCAAGACUUGGUGGUUGGACAUUGAUUUCAAUGGCUGUUUCCUUUGCUUUUUCAUCCCGUGAAGUAGGGGUUGAUGGAUGAUUAUUUACCAAUAUAACAACAGGACUUCUUUGUAAGUCUUAGGGGUUCCUCUAUCCAACAUGAGAAUUUAACAAUACUCCAGAUUAUAGAGCCAAUCUUCGAUGAAGUCCAUCAACAAUGGUAACCUAAGAUCUCAGGGACUCUUACUGCAAGGACUUCUUGAAUAUAUCAGGGAUGUUACCCUUCAAUCAAAUCCACCAGCAGAACAUCCAGAUGAGCCAGAGCUGUCACGCAGAGCAUGGUGGACGUGAAACUAACACCCAACCGAGGUUUGGAGUUAAUGAGGACAUCAGAAACCAGGACAAGCCAAUCCAAUGGAGAUGAGGAUCAAUCAGGACAUCGUUGGACAUCGAGGGACAGGAUCAGCUGCCUCCGGGGUCCGAAGACUUCCGCGUCCGAAGACUCCGGGCUUG